AAGUGAUGUGGGCAUUCCUAGAGAAUAUAUUUGAACCUCUCUCAAGAAUGAUAAAGAUUCUCAUCUGGCUUUUGCUUGAAGCUCAAAAUCUCACUGUGUAACCU
rfam:Capsicum annuum cultivar Zunla-1 chromosome 6, whole genome shotgun sequence